rnacentral:rRNA from 1 species
UGAGGAACAUGACCUUCGGCGGGGGAUAGCCGGCCCAACGGCCGGGUAAUACCGCGUACGACCACAUGGGGACAUCCCUGAGUGGUGAAAGCAGCAAUGCGCCGAUGGAGUGCCUCGCGGCCUAUCAGCUAGUUGGUGGGGUAACGGCUCACCAAGGCGACGACGGGUAGCUGGUCUGAGAGGAUGGCCAGCCACAUUGGGACUGAGACACGGCCCAGACUCCGUAGGGAGG